rnacentral:lncRNA from 1 species
UUUCUUCAAGUUGAACCAUUCCAACAUAAAAUUCAUAUAUAUAUUCUUGACUAAAGAUGAUUAAAAUCUCAAUCUAAGCUUUAGAAUUGAAAUGAAGUAUAAUUUCCUCUCCCUUAAUUAUAGCAAAACAACUUUUCAACCCCUGCAACUUCACGAAUUGAAACUUUGUUUUCUAUAAUUAACAUUGCUAACUUGCAACACUAAACGUAAUAAUCAUGCUCCCACUAACAUGAUGAUUAUCAGCAUAACACUUAUGCUCCCACUAGCUCUGACAUAUUUCCAGAAAUUUGCUGGACUUCUGAAAUUUAGAUUCAUACACCCUUUCUUAGAUAGCUCACAUGUGUGUCUAAACAAUUUUAAGAACUAUGAAAAGGGAUACCGUAAUCAUAGUCUCAAUUGCUUAGGCAUUUGCCAUUUCUCACAAGUCCAUGUUAGUGUGCCGGUUAACCACACGCGCUCCACUAACGACUUUUGAAAAUGCAAAUAACACAAUUGAUAUCUACGUAAAAUCUACUUAGUGAAAGCGUUUCCUCACCAUCAUUUUCAUGAAUCGGAGAGAAACCUUAUGACACUUAGAUUUUAUAGUGUAUGAGUUCCUAUCCAUGUGAAUUUGUCAAAACCAUAAUCACAAGAUAAGGUUAGUGACAAAUUCAGCCUUACAUGGAUUAAACUUGUUCAAUUUUAGUUUCUUGUCACCUUGGUAGCACAAGGCCCACCAAUGCUUCCAAGUUGAACUCUGAUAACUCACAUGCAAAUUCAACUUAUUUGAAGUAGGUACAGAAAUAAGAAUUAUGUCAACACGAUAGGUUGCAAACCUUAAGUCGUGUGCUAGUGAUAAAUUACAGGUUUUACUCUUGAUUAAAUCUUGAAACUCUUUCAGGAUCUUUAAGGCUCCCACUGUCCCCUUGACAUAUAAGUUUCCCCAGUCAAGAACCAUUCCUUGACAAAACAAAUACUCAAGGGAUAGUGCGGAUUCUUAUCAAGACUAACACUUCACACAAUUGGUCUUAGUUAGUCUUUGUCUCAUCCAAGACAUCACAACUUACCAAUCUCAAAUGUACAAGGUAGAAACAUUCUACACUACAUUUGAUAAGUGUUUUAAACCUUACUUUAUGUCACUCAAUGUUACAAUCUUGGAAUAUGACUCUAAGAAUUUUUUUGGAACAAAGUAUGACAUCACAACUUACCAAUCUCAAAUGUACAAGGGUAGAAAACGUUUUACUCUUACAUUUGACUAGUGUUAAUAAAUCUUCCUUUAUGUCACUCAAAGUUACAAUCUUGGAGUAUGACUCUAAGAAUUGUUUUGGAACGAAGUAUGACUCAUCUUCUUGAUUUUAACCAAUCCAACAAUUCAUGACCUCUCUUCUUAGCCAUAACAAUGCACUAAGACGUCCUUAGAGUAUGAAUUUGUGAUAUGGUUUCAUAAUCAUUAAGAUGAUCAUGAAAUACGAUACUAAAGUACUCUCCCAUCCUUUCAGAUUUGAGAAACUCUUAUCUUUUUGCCUAAUUUGAUUCUUCUCAUUUGUUUUGUCAUACAUUGUAACCUUUCAAUGUUACAAAAUUAUACUUAACCUUAUAAUUAUAAUCAUAU